CCUUGAGGUGUUACAUGUGAGAUUGCAAAUCUCGAGAAGUAGACUAACGUCUGCCGGGGCUUUC
rnacentral:tRNA from 1 species